rnacentral:lncRNA from 1 species
ACGAAGUAGCAACUACAAGGAUGGACAUUAGCACAUUACGAGUAACGUACUGCUCGUUAGUUGCAGCAGGAGCGUCAGUGUUGACAAUGAUGUUGGUGACGAUCUUCUGUUGAUGGCGAUGAAGACAACGAUGAGUUGCACCGCCCGACUUGGACAAUAGACGACCCGAAGGAUUUAAGCAGUCGCGCAAAGCGCUUCCCAAAAACCUAAUUCGUCAUCUCCCGGUGCACGAUCGCAAAGACGAACGGUUUCGAAGACCUGCCCUCUCGCACGCCGAUGCUCGCCGGCGCUCGAGAUGAGGUAGACUACGACGGCGGCGCAAGUGGUGAGACGAGGCAAAACCCUAG